GCUCUGGAAGUCUCUCACCGGCAGCUGCUGCUCUCGCUGGGGGCGGCCGAUGCCACCGGCAACAACAACAACGUCCCCAACAGUGUCCCCAACAGUGUCACCAACAGUGUCACCAAGAGUGUCCUCAGUGUCCCCAGUGUCACCAACAGUGUUCUCAGUGUCACCAACAAUGUCCCCAGUGUCACCAAGAGUGUCCCCAACUGCCACAGCACCAUCCCCAGUGUCCCCAGUGUCCCCAGCAGUGUCCCCAGCGGUGUCCCCACUGUCCCCAGUGUCCCCAGCAGUGUCCCCAGCAGUGUCCCCAGUGUCCCCAAUGUCCCCAGCAGUGUCUCCAGUGGUGUCCCCAGUGGUGUCCCCACUGUCCCCGGUGUCCCCGAGUGGGCCCAGCCACCCCCCGGCCCCUUCAUGACUUGGAGACUCGGUGACACCCCCGGACACGGUGACACCAGACACGGUGACACCAGACACGGUGACACCAGACACAGUGACACUGCCAGACAUGGUGACACAGGACACGGUGACACCGCCAGACUCGGUGACACAGGACAUGGUGACACCGCCAGACUCGGUGACACAGGACACGGUGACACCGCCAGACUCGGUGACACCUCUGGACACGGUGACACCCCCGGAUGUGGUGACACUGGACACUGUGACACUGGACACGGUGACACCUCUGGACACGGUGACACCCCCGGAUGUGGUGACACCCCCGGACAUGGUGACACCAGACAUGGUGACACAGGACACGGUGACACGGCCAGCACAGGCUCCGCCCACCUUUAACCCGGGAGAGGGGGGGGAGGGGCUGGAAUUUCCCUCCCCUCCCCCCCCAGGAAGGUUUUUCCAGGGAAUUCCCGAAUUCCCGGACAGAUGCACUUUGUUGGGAAUUCCCAAAUUUUUUUCUUUUUCCCGGAAAAAAAAAUUUCCCAAAAUUCCUAUAAAUAUGUACGUACGCCCCUCCCCCACCCUGUAAAUAGCCCCUCCCCCCUCCGGCCGACAAUCGGGGGCGGCACCCCCAAAAUCCCUGGAUUUCACCCCAAAAAUUCUGGGAUUUCACCCCAAAAAUUCUGGGAUUUCACCCCAAAAAUCCCGGGAUUUCACCCCAAAAAUUCUGGGAUUUCACCCCCAAAAAUUCCGGGAUUUCACCCCAAAAAUUCUGGGAUUUCACCCCAAAAAUUCCGUGAUUUCCACCCAAAAUCCCAGGAUUUCACCCCAAAAAUUCUGGGAUUUCACCCCAAAAAUCCUGGGAAUUCACCCC
rnacentral:lncRNA from 1 species